rnacentral:rRNA from 1 species
UACGGGGGGGGCAAGCGUUGUUCGGAAUUACUGGGCGUAAAGGGUUCGUAGGUGGCCAACUAAGUCAGACGUGAAAUCCCUCAGCUUAACUGGGGAACUGCGUCUGAUACUGAUUGGCUUGAGUGCAGGAGAGGAACGCGGAAUUCCCGGUGUAGCGGUGAAAUGCGCAGAUAUCGGGAAGAACACCCGUGGCGAAGGCGGCUCUCUGGGACGGUACUGACGCUGAGACGCGAAAGCGUGGGGAGCGAACAGG